AAAGAAACCAACAGGGAUUGCCCUAGUAACGGCGAGUGAAGCGGCAACAGCUCAAAUUUGAAAUCUGGCCUUCUGGUCCGAAUUGUAAUUUGUAGAGGAUGCUUUUGGUUAGGUACCUUCCGAGUUCCUUGGAACAGGACGCCUUAGAGGGUGAGAGCCCCGUACGGUUGGAUACCGAGCCUCUGUAAAGCUCCUUCGACGAGUCGAGUAGUUUGGGAAUGCUGCUCUAAAUGGGAGGUAAAUUUCUUCUAAAGCUAAAUAUUGGCCAGAGACCGAUAGCGCACAAGUAGAGUGAUCGAAAGAUGAAAAGCACUUUGAAAAGAGGGUUAAAUAGUACGUGAAAUUGUUGAAAGGGAAGGGCUUAUGACCAGACCUUUGCCUUGCGAAUCAUCCGGUGUUCUCACCGGUGCACUUCGCUUGGUUGAGGCCAGCAUCAGUUCUGGCAGUGGGAUAAAGACUUUAGGAAUGUGACUCCCCCGGGAGUGUUAUAGCCUAUUGUGUAAUACCAUUGCUGGGACUGAGGACCGCGCUUCGGCUAGGAUGCUGGCAUAAUGGUCAUCAGCCACCCGUCUUGAAACACGGACCAAGGAGUCGAACAUUUAUGCGAGUUUUUGGGUGUUAAACCCUCAAGCGUAAUGAAAGUGAACGGAGGUGAGAGCCCUUACGGGUGCAUCAUCGACCGAUCCUGAUGUCUUCGGAUGGAUUUGAGUAAGAGCAUAACUGUUCGGACCCGAAAGAUGGUGAACUAUGCGUGGAUAGGGUGAAGCCAGAGGAAACUCUGGUGGAGGCUCGCAGCGGUUCUGACGUGCAAAUCGAUCGUCAAAUCUGCGCAUGGGGGCGAAAGACUAAUCG
rnacentral:rRNA from 1 species